CUUUUCACCACUCCUUCUGAACCAUUAGUGCCCUGAAUAAAAAUUUUACACUGACCAAAUUUCGAACCACCCACACCAAAACCCAAUGUUUAUCGAACAACACCUCUAACCAUUCGGCUGUUGAGAUAUAUAAUCGCAGUGAACCAAUUUUUGAAGCGUACAUAAAUGCAGUCUACUUGAUCGUUCAUACCAUAUUUCGUUGACACAGUAGAAUGUAUGUUAAAGGUAGAGUUAUGUUUUGCUUUUCAAAAGUUCAUUUUUCGCAGCUGGUUGCAGAAAACGUUGUAUGCAACAUGCUGCGAAAACUGGUAGUUUUUAUCACAU